rnacentral:rRNA from 1 species
UCCAGACUCCUACGGGAGGCAGCAGUGGGGGAUAUUGCACAAUGGGGGGAACCCUGAUGCAGCGACGCCGCGUGGGUGAAGGAGCGUUUCGGCGCGUAAAGCCCUCUAGGCAGGGAAGAAGGAGGACGGAACCUGACUAAGAAGCCCCGGCUAACUACGUUCCAGCAGCCGCGGUAAUACGUAGGGGGCAAGCGUUAUCCGGAUUUACUGGGUGUAAAGGGGGCGCAGACGGCAGCGCAAGCCAGGAGUGAAAGCCCGGGGCGCAACCCCGGGACUGCUCUUGGAACUGCGCGGCUGGAGUGCAGGAGGGGAAGGCGGAAUUCCUGGUGUAGCGGUGAAAUGCGUAGAUAUCAGGAGGAACACCGGUGGCGAAGGCGGCCUGCUGGACUGCGACUGACGUUGAGGCUCGAAAGCGUGGGGAGCAAACAGGAUUAGAUACCCGAGUAA